AUUGAACGCUGGCGGCAGGCCUAACACAUGCAAGUCGAGCGAGCGGCGGACGGGUGAGUAAUGUAUGGGGACUGCCCGCUAGAGGGGGAUAACUACUGGAAACGGUGGCUAAUACCGCAUACUAUCGGAUAACCCAUAUGGGAUUAGCUAGUAGGUGGGGUAAAGGCUCACCUAGGCGACGAACUCUAGCUGGUCUGAGAGGAUGAUCAGCCACAAUGUGACUGAGACACUGCCCAGACUCCAAGGGAGGCAGCAGUGGGGAAUAUUGCACAAUGGGAGCAAGCCGGAUGCAGCCAUGCCGCGUGUAUGAAGAAGGCCUUAGGGUUGUAAAGGACUUUCAGCGAGGAGGCGUUACCCGCAGAAGAAGCACCGGCUAACUCCGUGCCAGCAGCCGCGGUAAUUC
rnacentral:rRNA from 1 species